GAAAUGCGAUACGUAAUGUGAAUUGCAGAAUUCAGUGAAUCAUCGAAUCUUUGAACGCACCUUGCGCCCCUUGGUAUUCCGAGGGGCACACCCGUUUGAGUGUCGUGAAAAUCUCAACCUUCUCGGUUUCUUCUGGACACCGAAGGAGGCUUGGACUUUGGAGGCCUUUGCUGGCGUCUCUCUCUUUUGAAGGCCAGCUCCUCUUAAAUGAAUUAGCGGGGUCCUCUUUGCCAGUCCUCGACGUGUGAUAAGAUGUUUCCAUGUCUUGGCUUCUGGCUCUGUUGCUUUUGGGACCCGCUUCUAACCGUCUCAACCUUUCAUUGAGACAAUGUUUGAGCAUGUCUCCCUUCUUGGGAAACACUCUCAACCCCACGAACCCUUGACCUCAAAUCGGGUGAGACUACCCGCUGAACUUAA
rnacentral:rRNA from 1 species